GAUGAACGCUGGCGGCGUGCCUAAUACAUGCAAGUCGAGCGAACAGACGAGGAGCUUGCUCCUCUGACGUUAGCGGCGGACGGGUGAGUAACACGUGGAUAACCUACCUAUAAGACUGGGAUAACUUCGGGAAACCGGAGCUAAUACCGGAUAAUAUAUUGAACCGCAUGGUUCAAUAGUGAAAGACGGUUUUGCUGUCACUUAUAGAUGGAUCCGCGCCGCAUUAGCUAGUUGGUAAGGUAACGGCUUACCAAGGCAACGAUGCGUAGCCGACCUGAGAGGGUGAUCGGCCACACUGGAACUGAGACACGGUCCAGACUCCUACGGGAGGCAGCAGUAGGGAGUCUUCCGCAAUGGGCGAAAGCCUGACGGAGCAACGCCGCGUGAGUGAUGAAGGUCUUCGGAUCGUAAAACUCUGUUAUUAGGGAAGAACAAAUGUGUAAGUAACUAUGCACGUCUUAACGGUACCUAAUCAGAAAGCCACGGCUAACUACGUG
rnacentral:rRNA from 1 species